rnacentral:misc_RNA from 1 species
GAUGAAGAACGUAGCGAAAUGCGAUAAGUAAUGUGAAUUGCAGAAUUCAGUGUAUCAUCGAAUCUUUGAACGCACAUUGCGCCCCCUGGUAUUCCGGGGGGCAUGCCUGUUCGAGCGUCAUUUCACCACUCAAGCCUCGCUUGGUAUUGGGCAUCGCGGUCCGCCGCGCGCCUCAAAUCGACCGGCUGGGUCUUCUGUCCCCUAAGCGUUGUGGAAACUAUUCGCUAAAGGGUGUUCGGGAGGCUACGCCGUAAAACAACCCCAUUUCUAAGGUUGACCUCGGAUCAGGUAGGGAUACCCGCUGAACUUAAGCAUAUCAAUAAGCGGAGGA